GGGGAAUAUUGCACAAUGGGCGAAAGCCUGAUGCAGCAACGCCGCGUGAGCGAAGAAGGCCUUUGGGUCGUAAAGCUCUGUUGGAAGGGAAGAAAGAAAUGACGGUACCUUCUGAGGAAGCCCCGGCUAACUACGUGCCAGCAGCCGCGGUAAUACGUAGGGGGCGAGCGUUAUCCGGAAUUAUUGGGCGUAAAGAGUGCGUAGGUGGCCAGGUAAGCGUGGGGUGAAAGGCAAUAGCUUAACUAUUGUAAGCCUUGCGAACUGUCUGGCUUGAGUGCAGGAGAGGAAAGCGGAAUUCCUAGUGUAGCGGUGAAAUGCGUAGAUAUUAGGAGGAACACCAGUGGCGAAGGCGGCUUUCUGGACUGUAACUGACACUGAGGCACGAAAGCGUGGGGAGCAAAC
rnacentral:rRNA from 1 species